GCUCUCCAUUCCUCACAAACAAUGGGAUCAACACUGAUGCUUUAGGCAGCACAGGCAGACCGGAGAACUUGUCUCCAAUGUCAAACUGCUUUAAAAUGGCUAUGGUCUCCUCUUUGCUAUGCAUGGUAGCUGCUAGCUGUUUUAAAGCAGAAACAGAAAGAGCUCGAGCUCUUCUAUGUAGUUCAUGUCAGAAGGCGAAACGAUAAGCUAACCUUACCACAAAGCUAACGCUAAUGUCAGUUUGAACACUAGCAGUGGCUGUGGUAACAAUUAUCACUCUCGCUGUUGCGGUCGAGGUAAGAUGAGUCAAAUGAUUGUAUUUCCUACAUUGUCAAUAUGGUAGCUAAAAGAGUUACCGCUCCGCUUCAUGAAGACAAGCCUCCAAAACAAACAUGUCGUCACUGUAUGCGACGCGCUUCCGCGUUCGCCACAAUUACGUCAUUAUGUGUCCUGAAAAUGUCAAGGCACUGUAGUCGCAACAGAUAUAGCCAUGUUACUCAGGAGUUUGACAGAAAUUAUACAUUUGAGUGACAUGUCAUAGAUGGGCAGGCAAAGGUUAUAAUGUAAAUGGACAACCAAUGGAAAAGGUAUUUUUCUAGAAUAUGGACAAGUUGUGUUGCUCUAUAAAAAAGUGCAUCAGGAAAACUACAGCAUGCAAGGUUUCAAUGGGAUUUGUAUUGCUGUAAACGGGUUCUCGGUGAAACAUCAGAUACGAAAUAAAACAUACAGUACAUUCCAAGUCAGUCAUUUUAUGGCAUAACGAGAAUAUGUGUUAUAUCAUAGGUAGGAACAAAAACGUGUAGAAAAGACUACUUAAAACUGACUGCCAGCUCACUGAAUAUGAAGCAGUAACAUUAGCCUGAGAUGUGUGAUUUGAACCACAUCAGCUAGAACAAAUUAAAGACAUAUUUCUCCCUUCAACGUUAAACCCACAGGUUUACAGGUAAAGUUAUACACUUAAGUGAAUAAAUAAAUAAAUUAAAA